GCAAAGAAAAGUGCUCAAGAAACUGGAGAAGGAAAUCCUACAGAGAAAGAAGCUGAUCUACAAUUCCCUCAGUGAUUCAAUCCGUGACACCAUGAAGCAAACAUAUCAAGAAUGCUCUGGCAUCACAGGAAAAGACUCUUUCAGAAAGAUUCAAGAGAAACUUAAAAGUGCAAUUGAGGAUUUCAAAAAGACCAUGUUCCAAAAUGCCAUGACGAAGAUGCUGGAAGAGUUCAGUGAUCUGCAGAAAUACCUUGUGGAUGAAAUUAAGACACAGAUGACAAACGCCUUGACGCUGGGUUUAAACCAGAUCCCUGAGGACCUGACUGGCCUCCCUGGUAACCAGUGGAAGCCACUC